CCAUGAACACAAGCCAUGUACAGCCCAUUAAGCUGGCCAGUGAUACCAAGGUUCUGGGCAGGACUGACUAGCAGGGACAGUACACACAGGUGCAUGUGGAAUUCAUGGACUUCCUGAGCUACUCCAUAAUCAAGAACAUAAAAGGCCACAGCUGGGAGGGAGAUGUGCUCACCCUAUUGGGGGUCAGAGCUAGAGGCUUGCAGGCUAC
rnacentral:lncRNA from 1 species